AGAGCGAACGCUGGCGGCAGGCCUAAUACAUGCAAGUCGAACGGAUCCUUCGGGAUUAGUGGCGGACGGGUGAGUAACACGUGGGAACGUGCCCUUUGGUUCGGAACAACUCAGGGAAACUUGAGCUAAUACCGGAUGUGCCCUUCGGGGGAAAGAUUUAUCGCCAUUGGAGCGGCCCGCGUCUGAUUAGCUAGUUGGUGGGGUAAAGGCCUACCAAGGCUACGAUCAGUAGCUGGUCUGAGAGGAUGAUCAGCCACACUGGGACUGAGACACGGCCCAGACUCCUACGGGAGGCAGCAGUAGGGAAUCUUGCGCAAUGGGCGAAAGCCUGACGCAGCCAUGCCGCGUGAAUGAUGAAGGUCUUAGGAUUGUAAAAUUCUUUCAGCGGGGACGAUAAUGACGGUACCCGCAGAAGAAGCCCCGGCUAACUUCGCGCCAGCAGCCGC
rnacentral:rRNA from 1 species